CAACAACAAGCUAGGAGCUAGGAUAUGACAGUCACAUCUCGCUAGUCUUCAUUAUUUAAUAUAGUCAUUUUGGACUUAGUAAAUUUAUUGUUUUUGUAUUAAUCAAAAUAAAAGUAUUCAAUUUAUAAAGAAAAAACAAACUCUUUUUCAUUUAUUCUCAACACCAUCAAACGAACGUAGUCGGUUUGUUACAAUUGGCAUUUGGCGCUGUGGACAGGGUUUGCAAAAUGAUAAAAAUUUUGGAAACGAAUAUUUUUGAAUUAUUUCAAAAUAUUCCAACCAAAUUAAUUCAAGGAGGCAAUUCAAUCUAAUUGAAUCAUCGUUGGAAGUCGGUGAAGAUCAACUCUCAACAACUCCGCAAAAGAUCCUGUCAGCAACAUCGAUUACGUUCCAAGUCAAAUUACAUGGAGGUACCAACUACACAUACCAUGAAUCAAGUAUCAGCUGCAUUGGUUACCUAGUGGUUUGUUCUAUCCCCGGCCGAUCGUGUGAAAACUUUAUAGCUCCACCGCGACACUCAGGUUUGUUAUCUUCGCCAACAUUUAAAUGCAAUAGCUAAUUGAACUGUUCUCGGAAAAAAUUUACAAUUAUCUCACGAAAUGACAUGCCGGAUCUGCUCAUGUAGAAAGAGGACAAAAGAAGUCCGUUUACCGACGUAAUAUUGAGUAUCGACUCAAUGUCUUCAACGUCGACAGCCACCUCUAAAAUCACGCGCCGCCAGAAAAGAAUUUGAUGCAGGAAUUUUAAAAGUUGUACACGUCUUUAUCAAGUCGCUGUGUUGUCCAUUCUCCGACGCCAGAAAACUGCGGCAUCAUUGUGUCCGCCCGCUCAGUUGUUUUAUUAACGCGUCUCUUCGUUUUCUACCGCCUAUAACAUUUUCUCAGAUUUUUCGUCAUCUUUGAAUUUGUCUGUUGUCUCCGAACGUCAAGUCCAGUUCGUAUUUUCAUAACGCGUUAAGAUUUCGUUCGAGUAGUACGCGUUGCUUAAAAUCCGUGUUUAGAGCGUCUGUAUUGUGCGCGGGUGUUCUGAAAUUUGGUCACCGACAGAAGCAUUUUGUUACUAUCGCCGACACAUAGGCGUGCAAAGGACUAUUAGAUAGUUCACAAAGUGUGCAGAAAUACUUCUCCUUGGGUUCCUUGACCUACGACAAUUCGAAUUUAUUCCUGUAAAAAAAAAUGGGAAAAGAUACAAAAAAAACAAAACUCUAUUGUCCAAUUACGAUGGUGAGAUACGAUAUUGCUGGGAACAGUACAUACUGGACGUGUAGAAUGUGCUUGAAAUGUUUAUUAAGUGAAGAAGCUGCACGUCGUCACGUUAAGAUUUGUAAUAGAAAAACUCCUCAGAGGCCCAAGUCACACCCAUACCUACAAUAAACUAACUUGCUAUAAAUUUUGACAGUAACAGUUAUGUUUGUGAAUUUUGUAACAUGGUAUUUUCCCGACGAGUGAUAUUGAAGAAACAUGUGGAAGGACAUCAAAAGACAAACAAUAGUGAUGACAAUGAAAAUUAUUCAGACCAAAACUUGAAAUUUUGAAUUUAAUAAUUUAGAUUGUUUAUCACUGAUUAACUGUUAUUUGACAUUUUUAAAUAUACAUAAAGACCAUA